GACCUGGUGGUGAAGGGUCUCACAUCCGCACUCUGUACGAAAAUCAGCAUUUCUGCGGAAGGCCCUGGUUCGACUCCAGGCUAGGUCG